rnacentral:rRNA from 1 species
UACGUAGGUGGCGAGCGUUGUCCGGAUUUACUGGGCGUAAAGAGCGCGCAGGCGGUCGUUCAAGUCGCGUGUGAAAGCCCCCGGCUCAACUGGGGAGGGUCACGCGAUACUGAUCGACUCGAAGGCAGGAGAGGGAAGUGGAAUUCCCGGUGUAGUGGUGAAAUGCGUGGAUAUCGGGAGGAACACCAGUGGCGAAGGCGACUUCCUGGCCUGUUCUUGACGCUGAGGCGCGAAAGCUAGGGGAGCAAACGGG